UACGUAGGGUGCGAGCGUUAAUCGGAAUUACUGGGCGUAAAGCGUGCGCAGGCGGUUUUGUAAGCCAGAUGUGAAAUCCCCGGGCUUAACCUGGGAAUGGCAUUUGGGACUGCAGGGCUUGAGUGCGGCAGAGGAGACUGGAAUUCCUGGUGUAGCGGUGAAAUGCGCAGAUAUCAGGAGGAACACCUAUUGCGAAGGCAGCUCGCUGGGACGUAACUGACGCUGAGACGCGAAAGCGUGGGGAGCAAACAGG
rnacentral:rRNA from 1 species